GAUCCUGGCUCAGGAUGAACGCUAGCGACAGGCUUAACACAUGCAAGUCGAGGGGCAGCACGGGGUAGCAAUACCCCGGUGGCGACCGGCACACGGGUGAGUAACCCGUGUGCAACCAACCCCGUACCGGGAGAUAACCCGCGGAAACGUGGACUAACACCCCAUAAGACCUUUCCCCCGCAUGGGGGGGAGUUUAAAACCCCGGUGGUACGGGACGGGCACGCGCGACAUUAGGUAGUUGGCGGGGUAACGGCCCACCAAGCCGACGAUGUCUA
rnacentral:rRNA from 1 species